UUAUGUGAUCGUCUCUCGCAUAUCAAUAAGCGGAGGAAAAGAAACUAACAAGGAUUCCCCUAGUAACGGCGAGUGAAGCGGGAAGAGCUCAAAUUUGAAAUCUUAAAGGGUUUCCCUUUACGAAUUGUAGUUUAAAGAAGUGUUUUCUGUUGAGGUUUUGGUAAAAGUUCUUUGGAAUAGGACAUCAUAGAGGGUGAGAAUCCCGUAUUUGACCUUUACUUUCAACUUUGUGAUACACUUUCAAAGAGUCGGAUUGUUUGGGAAUGCAGUCCAAAAUGGGUGGUAAAUUUCAUCUAAAGCUAAAUAUUGGCGAGAGACCGAUAGCGAACAAGUACCGUGAGGGAAAGAUGAAAAGAACUUUGAAAAGAGAGUUAAACAGUACGUGAAAUUGUCAAAAGGGAAGCGUUUGACACCAGUGUUGUUUUUCUGAAAAUCAAUUAAAGAACUGUUUAUGCUAAGUUGUUUAGACUUUAUCAGCUAUCUGUUUAGUUUUGAGCUUUUCUUUAAUGCACUUUUCAGUUAACAAGUCAACAUCAAUUUCUUUUGCUGUAAAAAAGCUUGAGGAAGGUGGCUUGAGAUUCGUCUUAAGUGUUUAUAGCCUCUUGCCUAUGCAGUCGGAGAGAUUGAGGUCUGCAGCGUAGAUCCUUCGGGGCUAAAUGCAUUUGUGCUAAGUUAUAGCAUUUUAUAGACAACUUGUUGACUAUGAUUUGUCUUGUAGCUUACUCGCUUAUGUUAUUUUACCUACGCUUAGGAUGUUGAGCGCAUGUCUCUCUCU
rnacentral:rRNA from 1 species